rnacentral:lncRNA from 1 species
CAUUUAUAUACCCAUCUUUUUUAUUUUCCCUUUCUUAAAUUUUUAUUACAAUUUAAAUACGUACACUUUGAAACAUGUUUAACCCCACCGCAAUUUUGCGCCUGUCCCAAGUCAGGAGCCUCUGGCCUUUGUUAGUCUUGUGAUUUUUAAUUUUAGUUUCUUGUGUUUAAUUCGGAGUUUAGUAUGACGUCCACUAUCACUGAACUAGUAUUUUAAGCUCACCUGGCCCUUUAAGUGUGCUUUUCUCAUCAAUUGGCGUCCGUCGUCCGUCGUCGUCUGUCGUCCGUCGUCCGUCGUCGUUAACUUUUACAAAAAUCUUCUCCUCUGAAACUACUGGACCAAAUUUAAUCAAACUUGACCACAAUCAUAAUUGGGGUAACUAGUUUUAAAUAUGUGUCCGGUGACCCGGCCAACCAACCAAGAUGGCCGCCAUGGCUAAAAAUA